GCAAAGCAGAGGCUGCACACAGCACUGGACUCCUGCUUUUUUGGAGGAUCAAAGUGGAAUGAACCUGACAGGUCCCAGACACAGAGCCGGUGGGGCAGAGGAGGGACCCUGAAGCCCUGUUGUCACGACAACCUGGGAGGUGGGCACGGUGAUGACGGC